UCUUGCUCUAGCGUGCCUUUGACGAGCCACGUCAAGCAGCCGUGCUGGGCAGGGAGCCCCAGGGUGGGCAGCGGGGUCCCUGCUGGCCCCGGUGUAGCUGGCUGUCAGAAGGAGGGUUAUUUUCACUGUGGUUUCAGAACCAUCCUUCUGCCGCCACUUACAGCAGAAGCCACCCUUGCUGUGCUGGUGCUUGAAGAGAUGGCUGGUCCCUGGGCAGAGCAUCCUUGUCCCCGGCACAGCAUCCCUGUCCCCAGGCAGAGCAUCCCUGUCCCUCUCCCUGUCCCCAGGCACAGCAUCCCUGCCCAGCUCACUGACCUGCUGGGGACGUGUCCCUGGCACUUGCCUGGCAUUACAGCUCCCCAUUUGGGCUCAGGGGGCUGUCCCCGGUCUUAGGCUGUGGCUGAUAAGGAAUAAAUCCGAGUGUCUCAGUUUAAGAAGCUACGCCGUUUCCUUCACCCCAGCAAUGGCUUUUAGUCACUCAGUCUUGCUACAGAAAAAUUCAUGAGAUCGUUUCCCCCAACACAACAUGUUACUUUGAAAUCGUAAUUAAAUACCUCUGGCUGUUCUAAUAUUAAGCUUUUGUAAGCGCUUGGAAUAAUAUUUCAGAGAAAGGGAAAAGCUUUGUACUCUAUUAGCAUGAUAUACUCUUCUCCCAGUGAAAUAUCUCGAGCAUCAAAUCCUCCAUACACGUUGGAAAUCCUCUUCCCUGUUAGUUUCCUCAAUGAAGUGAAGGCACACACCUCCCUCGGGUCUCU